rnacentral:lncRNA from 1 species
UGGAACGGAGUUCCAACUUCAUCCUCAGCAUCUAUAUAAGAGAAGGAAUACAAAUGGCUUACCAUGAGAGCCUUUUCUCCCCCUACCACCACCCGCUUCUUAUUCUUUACAAACUUCAGUUUCUGGUGUAGGGUGGAUGUCACGACGCCAGCCUCGUGAAUCCAUGGUCUGCCUAGGAGACAACUAUACGAUGGGUGAAUGUCCAUAACCUAGAAGGUAA